GCCGGAAUAGCUCAGUUGGUAGAGCAGAGGACUGAAAAUCCUCGUGUCACCAGUCAGA
rnacentral:tRNA from 1 species